rnacentral:rRNA from 1 species
AACGAACGCUGGCGGCGUGCUUAACACAUGCAAGUCGAACGAUGAAGCCCAGCUCGCUGGGUGGAUUAGUGGCGAACGGGUGAGUAACACGUGAGUAACCUGCCCUGGACUCUGGGAUAACCCCGAGAAAUCGGAGCUAAUACCGGAUAGGACCUUUCCUCGCAUGAGGUUUGGUGGAAAGUUUUUCGGUGUGGGAUGGACUCGCGGCCUAUCAGCUUGUUGGUGAGGUAAUGGCUCACCAAGGCGUCGACGGGUAGCCGGCCUGAGAGGGUGACCGGCCACACUGGGACUGAGACACGGCCCAGACUCCUAUGGGAGGCAGCAGUGGGGAAUAUUGCACAAUGGGCGCAAGCCUGAUGCAGCAACGCCGCGUGCGGGAUGACGGCCUUCGGGUUGUAAACCGCUUUUAGUAGGGAAGAAGCCUUCGGGUGACGGUACCUGCAGAAAAAUGACCGGCUAACUACGUGCCAGCCGCCGCGGUAAGAC